CCAAUAGCGUAUAUUAAAGUUGCUGCAGUUAAAAAGCUCGUAGUUGAAUUUCGGGACCAUCAUGUCGGUCGUGCCUCGGUACGUACUGGCAUUGUUGGUUUCUCCCUUCUGACGAACCAUGAUGUCAUUUAUUUGGUGUUGUGGGGAAUCAGGACUGUUACUUUGAAAAAAUUAGAGUGUUUAAAGCAGGCUCACGCUUGAAUACAUUAGCAUGGAAUAAUGAAAUAGGACGUUUGAUUCUAUUUUGUUGGUUUCUAGGAUCGACGUAAUGAUUAAUAGGGAUAGUUGGGGGCAUUAGUAUUCAAUUGUCAGAGGUGAAAUUCUUGGAUUUAUUGAAGACUAACUACUGCGAAAGCAUUUGCCAAGGAUGUUUUCAUUAAUCAAGAACGAAAGUUAGGGGAUCGAAGACGAUCAGAUACCGUCGUAGUCUUAACCAUAAACUAUGCCGACUAGGGAUCGGAUGAUGUUAAUUUUUUAAUGACUCAUUCGGCGCCUUACG
rnacentral:ncRNA from 2 species